CUCCCUCCUUUCCCCCCCCCCCCAACCUGCCGUCAAGCCUUUGGCAUCAUUAUCCUCAUCACUAAAUCCUACAGAGUACAGGGCGGAAAACCGUGCACAC
rnacentral:lncRNA from 1 species